UCCGGAUCUAUAUUUUAUUACUGCAAUCCGUAGAUCUAAUUUGUAGGAAGCUAACGAAAUUAAGCUGGAAAAAAUCUGUUCAUCUUUCAACGCGCUGUUCGACGACAAACAUCAUCCACUACACAACAAACACGUGCUUAACCUGCAAGCGGAACAUAUAAUGUUUGUCGUCGCACAGCGUGUUGUAAAUUGAAACAAUUUUUUCCAGCUCAAUCAAAUAAACAAACCA